UAACCCCUCCCCGACCUUUAGCCCCUCCCCCCACACCCAUUAACCCUCCCCCAUUAACUCCUCCCCCACCCCUCCCCCACCCCAUUAGCCCCUCCCUCACCUUCCCCCAGCCCCGCCGGCAGCAGGCUCCGCCUCCUCCUCCUCCUCGUGGCCCCUCCCCCCCGGCGCAGCCGGCUCCACCCCUCCCCCGGGCGGGGCAGUGUCCGCUCUCCGGCCAGUUCGGCCACGGUCAGCGCCAGGCUGAAAAUGUCCGCGGGGGCGUGGCCCUGGCCCCGCCCACACAGCGCCUCGGGGGCGGAGUAACGGGCAUCGCCCCGCCCCCCCAGGGACACGCCCCCGUCCCGCGGUGACCCGCCCCGGGGGGGGGGGCCAGGGGGUUAAAGGUCGCGGUUAAUGGUCACUGUGGUUAAUGGUCACUGUGGGGGGAGGGGUCACUCCAGGGGCAGUGGUCACUGCAGUGGUCACUCCAGGCCCAGUGGUCACUCCGAAGUCGGCCAUGGGGUCAGUGGUCACUCCAGUGGUCACUCUGGGCCCAGUGGUCACUCCAGCGGUCACUCCGCAGUGGUCACUCCAGGCCCAGUGGUCACUCCAGUGGUCACUCCGGGCCCAGUGGUCACUCCA
rnacentral:lncRNA from 1 species